UUAAAUUGAAGAGUUUGAUCAUGGCUCAGAUUGAACGCUGGCGGCAGGCCUAACACAUGCAAGUCGAACGGUAACAGGAAGCAGCUUGCUGCUUCGCUGACGAGUGGCGGACGGGUGAGUAAUGUCUGGGAAACUGCCUGAUGGAGGGGGAUAACUACUGGAAACGGUGGCUAAUACCGCAUAACGUCGCAAGACCAAAGAGGGGGACCUUCGGGCCUCUUGCCAUCAGAUGUGCCCAGAUGGGAUUAGCUAGUUGGUGAGGUAACGGCUCACCAAGGCGACGAUCCCUAGCUGGUCUGAGAGGAUGACCAGCCACACUGGAACUGAGACACGGUCCAGACUCCUACGGGAGGCAGCAGUGGGGAAUAUUGCACAAUGGGCGCAAGCCUGAUGCAGCCAUGCCGCGUGUAUGAAGAAGGCCUUCGGGUUGUAAAGUACUUUCAGCGGGGAGGAAGGUGUUGUGGUUAAUAACCGCAGCAAUUGACGUUACCCGCAGAAGAAGCACCGGCUAACUCCGUGCCAGCAGCCGCGGUAAUACGGAGGGUGCAAGC
rnacentral:rRNA from 3 species